rnacentral:lncRNA from 1 species
AACAUACUCAAAUUUCACAUAAAGUACUGAUCUACUUCUAACAACUAUUACAACAAAUUUCAACUGUAAAUUUGUUAUGGAUUUUAAGAUAUCACCAAAAUCCUAGUAGUAGCUUCAAAUCCUAGUUUUUAUAUACCUACAUGCAAUUUUCUUCAUAUCUCACAAAAUAAGUAUUUAAAUACCUUAAAAUUUAUAUAUAUAUAGCUUUUUAACACAAUUAUCUAUCUUUUUUAUAAGGUUUGAGCUAAAAAUUCAUCCAAAAACUUAAGAUAUGGCUCUAACCAUUACUAUAAACAAAAUCUUUUACUUAUUGACUUUGAUUUCGAUGCAUUGACUUUAACUCUCUUUAACUUCAUUAUUUGUACUCCAAAUUCAUCAAACAAUAUAUAAAAAGUGUAUUUAAAAAAAUACUCUCUUCAAUCUUAAUUAUCAAUCUUUUGUUACUUUUAUGAAACAUAUAUUAUG